ensembl:lncRNA
CGAAUUAUUCACAAAUUAUUAUUUACAUAUGGACAACAAGUUUAACAAGUUUUCUUUGGAAGUAGGGCCCCUUGGCUGGGACUGAGCCUGUGCAGCCUGGUGGGAGGGGCAUGUGGUGACGUCAGGAAGUGUUUAUUAUGUUUUUCAUUUUUUAAAGGUACCCAGAGCAACUUCUUGUUUAAAGAUACCAAAUUGGCAUUCUUACAUUAUCACUUCUAGAAUGUGCACUCUAUCUUAUGUUUCAGUUUGUCACCUACUCAGGUUUCCUGAGUACUCAGUUUCCUGUUCUUUCCUGUCCUGAGUACUGAGUCUCCUACUCAGUUUCCUGUUCUUUUCCUGAUUCUCAGCUUCUGCGAGGGGUUUCCAGCCCCUAGUGAGCCCGCAGAACUAGAAACAGGAGAACAGACAGGAGAAAGUAACGCACUUGCUGAUAGAAAAAUGGUCCAAAUGGUCCUUGAAAGCAAAAACAUUAAUUUUAUGUAAAUGUACCUUUUUCCAAAAGUACACAUAGGAUCCACUGCUCACUGUCUGCAAUGCAGGGCUCUCUGAAACAAAUGUCAUCUUCCUAAGUAGAAUGAAUCAUAGAAAUUCAGCUAUUUUUAAUCACUCUUUUGUGUAAAUUCUGAAAAACAGUAAUUCAGUAGAGGCUCAUGAAAUCCACAUGCCUAACACCUCUUCUGUCUUAUCAAGCAAAACUAGCACAUUUUAUUAGAACUUCAUUAAAACUCCUCUUAUUGCCUUAACUACAGGAUCCCUAGCCAUCGCUGUUUCUCUCUCCUUAAAGGCUUGUCUUCUGUAGUUUUAUUUGCCAUAUGCCAAGCUUUUGGGAACAAUUACUUUGGCCUUGCAUGUGAUUCAAUGUCUUCUAUCAGAUAAGGAGAUUCCUAUCAAAGGUGCGGUUUGUAGAACUGAAAGUGACCUGGAGUGAACUUCCAGUUUUUUGAUAAGAGACAAAGUUUCCUCUAGCUUUGUGAAUUGCAGUUAAUGAUUCAUGUCUAAUUGACAUUAGCAGUAUUAAACACAAAUUAAAUUAAGAAAAUUUGCUAGAUGGCUGUUAAAAAACAUCCCUUGUGUUUCUCAAAACAUUAUCAAUGAACAAGAACCUGUUAAACUUCACCUUGGGGAAAAACAUCAAUUCUGAAACAGCCUUUGGUAAUAUACACCUAAAAAUCUUGUUCUAUGAAGCUGUUCAGGCUUUCAUUUGAAUGCCUUUGUAAUUCACUUGCUCUAUAAAAUAUUGACUUUUGCAGUUUCAAAUAAUCCAUUCUUAUACGGGGUUCUCAAAAUAGUGGAGUUACAGACUUUGGCUUUAUUAGGAACAGUUGCUGAUGGAUGAUUUAAUCCCCGUGCUGUAGCUGCUGUGCCCAGAGGCAACUGCAGAAGGACACGCUCCAGAAGGUAACAGGGAAGCCGGGAAAGCCGAACUGAACCGAAUCUUUUGCGUGCGCGUCUUCCUCCUCCUCCUUCUUCGUGCAGGUCGCUAUUUACGGAAUGCUUCGGAGUGAAAACCUGCAAACUUCGGCAUCUUUGGGCGCCACGCCACGACCCCGUGCAGGGACCUGUUUGGUGCCGUUCCUAAGGCUGGGACAGGCUUUCCCAGCGGCAGUAGCCGCUAGCCCGGGGCUGGUACAGCCAGCCAAGCUGCCGCCAACAGCCGGGAGUGGGCAAGCCUGCCCGGGUGGAAGCGCUGCGGGGGGAAUUCUUCCAGGACAAAGCUGUUCCCUUGGCAGCAUCUCAACACGUUGUUUUCCAACCAGGUGCCAGCUGUCCCGUUGUCUCAUCCAGAAAGCAUUCCUACACAGAGAAAGAUUAAAACAAACAAACAAACAAACAAAAAAACCCCAACCAAAAUCAAAGCAAAACAUCAAACAUCGAAGCACAUCCCAAGUACCGCGGACCCACCCACCACACCCGGGGCCCCGCAGAGUCGCUCCUGCUCCCGGGCUCAGCUGCCGCCCCGCCCACGGCCGCACGGCAAGGGGCGCGCCGCCACACCCACGGGUAGCCGGGGCACUGGAGCUCCCGCCGCAGCCUUUCUUCCCUGGCCGGCGCCACCACCGGCCCCCACGAGCUACCGGGAUUCGGGCAGGGUCACCUCGUAGCCCAUUCCAGAGCCCUGCGCGCCCUCAACCCUCCUUCUCUGGGGGGCGGGAGGGGCACCUGGUAGCGCCGAGCUCCGCCCGCCGCCCAGCGCGCUCCGGGCAGC